GACGAACGCUGGCGGCGUGCCUAACACAUGCAAGUCGAACGGGGCAGCAAUGCCCAGUGGCGAACGGGUGCGUAACACGUGAGGAACUUGUCCAUCGGCGGGGGAUAGCCGGCCCAACGGCCGGGUAAUACCGCGUACGUCGGCGAGACCGCAUGGUCUUGCCGGGAAAGCAGCAAUGCACCGAUGGAGAGCCUCGCGGCCUAUCAGCUAGUUGGUGAGGUAAUGGCUCACCAAGGCGACGACGGGUAGCUGGUCUGAGAGGAUGAUCAGCCACAUUGGGACUGAGACACGGCCCAGACUCCUACGGGAGGCAGCAGUGGGGAAUAUUGCGCAAUGGGCGAAAGCCUGACGCAGCGACGCCGCGUGUGGGAUGACGGCC
rnacentral:rRNA from 1 species